ACUAAGUUCAUCAAGAAUUUCAUAAUCCUCUGACCCUUUGGCUGUGACCAGUCUGCUCCCAAUCUCAAACUCCAGUUUUCAUCAAAUUCCAGAUUUCAUCACAUCCAGUGAUGAAAAAACAUUCUUCUCAACCUUUUAAAAUACUCUGAGUGUUUGGAUCUACCUAAGCUUAAGGGCGUUACUCUGUGGGGAGUUACUGGACCUCUGUGUUCCAGGAAAGUAGCAUACUUCAGUCCUCAGGGAUAGUAGGCUCGGGCCAGGCUGCAGCAUUCUCACAAGAACUAAGGUGAUGUUUGGACAUUGUAAGUAAAAGAUGCAGAGGCUGUGAUGAGAUGAAUGAGUAACAAUGUCAUGGCAGGGAAAAAGAAUUAAACAUUUGAUGAAAAGGAAGCUGCCUGUGGAAAAGCUGAGGUUCUGUUGACCAGUAUACAGAACUUGAUGCUAAAGAAAAUUAGAACUCCAUGACCAUUGGACAUAUGACUUCAAAAAAGAGAAGAAAAAGAACCUCAGAAAUGGAUAUGGACAAGAAGCUUAUUGAAGAGGGGUGCACAGAGGAGUCAGGGGGCGUACUUGGAUGGAAGUUAGGAGUACUUCAUGAACCCGAAGACAGCUGGAAAGGCAAAGGAAGCUCAGUGACCUUGGCUGAGAAGGAGCAGAUGAUGAUUAGAAGAAAGAAAAGAAAGAAAAGGGUAGAUCUUUUUCAUAGGUCUCUUUGGCCUUUGUGACACAACACACUGGAGAAAAGACACACUUGAAUAGUUUACCUUGAAGACCGAGCAUCCUGAUUUAGCAAAUGCAGGCACUGCAAAGCAGUAUGGAACAAAACACCCAGUCAUUUCACUGCAGCAGCCACUGUGCUUCAUAGAUAGCUCUGCGGAGCAGGGCUCAUCCCAUAUACCUUCUUUCUUUACCUCCUACCUGCCCAAGAGCCAGCACAGAUUGCCACAGUGUUAAUUGCAGCCAACUCCAGUGGAAAAUAAGGGCAUAUGACGAGAGUGGACAUAUGUUAAUGACUCAUGCACCCUGCACUUCUUAUUUGUCAUUUUAUAUGUUGUUUGUUAUGG
rnacentral:lncRNA from 1 species